rnacentral:lncRNA from 1 species
CCAUGGCUUUCAUUUCUCUCACAGGAAAUGCAAAAUCAUUAUGUAAGCAUAGAAAAGAGCCAACAAUGUUGCCAAAAUAGCAAUAAUAUAUAACAAGUGGUAAUAACAAUUGUUACUUUGACAGAAGAUCUUAAGAGUUUUAGUAUACUAUCUGCUAUUUUGAUUUCUUCUUUUCUUUUAGGGCAUGAAAAGCUUGUUGCCACACUUGCAACGCCAAGCUUCGGGGUAGUACUCAAGUGGCAUACUAAACCCUGGUUGAAUUGGAACGUGAACUGGUUUAC